AUAGUGAAAAUUCCCAAAGGCGCUUUGGGGAGUGGAUGUAGGAGCGGUGAAGGCUCCGAACCACUAUAAAACCGUGUGUUUGUGGUUGUCUCUUCUUAUCUCUUUAUCUUUAUUUUAGUUCAUAUAUUUGUGUGUUUUAUUUUUAAUUAGGCAAAAAGUUUUUAAAACACCCAAUUCACCCCCCUCUUGGGUGACCAUCUCUGGGCAACAGAAUAAAAGAAAGUCUUUAAAAGAACUCUAAAAGAACUUUCAAAGCUUUGCAUUUUAUGUAUGCUCUAAGAUAUAUCAUAAAUUUCAUGAAUUCAUAUUUUGAUAUG
rnacentral:lncRNA from 1 species